rnacentral:rRNA from 1 species
AGUCCUAGCUGUAAACAAUGGAUACUAGAUGUUGAACAGAUCGACCUGUGCAGUAUCAAAGCUAACGCGUUAAGUAUCCCGCCUGGGAAGUAUGCUCGCAAGAGUGAAACUCGAAGGAAUUGACGGGGGCCCGCACAAGCGGUGGAGCAUGUGGUUUAAUUCGAUGCAACGCGAAGAACCUUACCAGGGUUUGACAUGAUACGAAUUUCUUUGAAAGGAGAAAGUGCCGUUUGGAACGUAUACACAGGUGGUGCAUGGCUGUCGUCAGCUCGUGUCGCGAGAUGUUGGGUUAAGUCCCGCAACGAGCGCAACCCUUAUUUUUAGUUGCCUUUAUGGAACUCUAAAAAGACUGCCGGUUAUAAACCGGAGGAAGGCGGGGAUGACGUCAAGUCAGCAUGCCCCUUACACCCUGGGCUACACACGUGCUACAAUGGGCGAGACAAUGAGAUGCGACUCUGCGAAGAUUAGCUAAUCUAGAAACUCGUUCUAAGUUCGGAUUGUAGGCUGCAACUCGCCUACAUGAAGUUGGAAUCGCUAGUAAUCGCUGGUCAGCAUACAGCGGUGAAUUCGUUCCCGGGCCUUGUACACACCGCCCGUCACACCAUGGAAGCUGGUUAUGCCCGAAGUCGUUACUCUAACCUUU